GACGAACGCUGGCGGCGUGCUUAACACAUGCAAGUCGCACGGGACCCGCAAGGGUUCAGUGGCGGACGGGUGCGUAACACGUGAGGAACAUGCCUAUCGGCGGGGGAUAGCCGGCCCAACGGCCGGGUAAUACCGCGUACGCUCGACUGGGGGCAUCCCCGGACGAGGAAAGCAGCAAUGCACCGAUAGAGUGCCUCGCGGCCUAUCAGCUAGUUGGUGAGGUAAUGGCUCACCAAGGCGACGACGGGUAGCUGGUCUGAGAGGAUGGCCAGCCACAUUGGGACUGAGACACGGCCCAGACUCCUACGGGAGGCAGCAGUGGGGAAUAUUGCGCAAUGGCCGAAAGGCUGACGCAGCGACGCCGCGUGUGGGAUGACGGCCCUCGGGUUGUAAACCACUGUCGGAAGGGACGAAUGCCCCGCAAGGGGAGCGACGGUACCUUCAAAGGAAGCACCGGCUAACUCCGUGC
rnacentral:rRNA from 1 species